rnacentral:rRNA from 1 species
AACGAACGCUGGCGGCGCGCCUAAUACAUGCAAGUCGAGCGAGAAGACGUAGCAAUACGUUUGUAAAGCGGCGAACGGGUGAGGAAUACAUGGGUAACCUACCCUCGAGUGGGGAAUAACUAGCCGAAAGGUUAGCUAAUACCGCGUACGCUCCUUGGACUUCGGUUCAGGGAGGAAAGCGAUACCGUGGGUAUCGCGCUCUUGGAUGGGCUCAUGUCCUAUCAGCUUGUUGGUGAGGUAACGGCUCACCAAGGCUUCGACGGGUAGCUGGUCUGAGAGGACGAUCAGCCACACUGGCACUGCGACACGGGCCAGACUCCUACGGGAGGCAGCAGUAAGGAAUAUUGCGCAAUGGGCGAAAGCCUGACGCAGCGACGCCGCGUGGGGGAUGAAGGUCUUCGGAUUGUAAACCCCUUUCGGGAGGGAAGAUGGAACGAGCAAUCGUUCGGACGGUACCUCCAGAAGCAGCCACGGCUAACUUCGUGCCAGCCGCCGCAGUAAC